AAGGCCUACGGGGCGCAGCAGUGGGGAAUAUUGCACAAUGGGGGAAACCCUGAUGCAGCGACGCCGCGUGAAGGAAGAAGUAUUUCGGUAUGUAAACUUCUAUCAGCAGGGAAGAAAAUGACGGUACCUGACUAAGAAGCCCCGGCUAACUACGUGCCAGCAGCCGCGGUAAUACGUAGGGGGCAAGCGUUAUCCGGAUUUACUGGGGGUAAAGGGAGCGGAGGCGGCGAUGCAAGUCAGAAGUGAAAGCGCGGGGCUCAACUGCGGGACUG
rnacentral:rRNA from 1 species